ACGAACGCUGGCGGCGUGCUUAACACAUGCAAGUCGAACGGAAAGGCCCUGCUUUUGUGGGGUGCUCGAGUGGCGAACGGGUGAGUAACACGUGAGUAACCUGCCCUUGACUUUGGGAUAACUUCAGGAAACUGGGGCUAAUACCGGAUAGGAGCUCCUGCUGCAUGGUGGGGGUUGGAAAGUUUCGGCGGUUGGGGAUGGACUCGCGGCUUAUCAGCUUGUUGGUGGGGUAGUGGCUUACCAAGGCUUUGACGGGUAGCCGGCCUGAGAGGGUGACCGGCCACAUUGGGACUAAGAUACGGCCCAGACUCCUACGGGAGGCAGCAGUGGGGAAUAUUGCACAAUGGGCGGAAGCCUGAUGCAGCAACGCCGCGUGCGGGAUGACGGCCUUCGGGUUGUAAACCGCUUUCGCCUGUGACGAAGCGUGAGUGGCGGUAAUGGGUAAAGAAGCACCGGCUAACUACGUG
rnacentral:rRNA from 1 species